AUUUAUAUAGUUUAACUAAAAACUUUACAUUUUCACUGUAAAAAUAAAAAAAUAUUUUUUAUAAAUU
rnacentral:tRNA from 1 species